rnacentral:rRNA from 1 species
AUUGCACGCUGGCGGCAGGCUUAACACAUGCAAGUCGAGCGAGGGGCGGACGGGUGCGUAAUUUCUGGGAAACUGCUUGAUGGCGGGGGUUAACUACUGGAAACGGUAGCUAAUACCGCUUACCAUCGGGUGUGCCCCGAUGGGAUUAGCUAGUAGGUGGGGUAAAGGCUCACAUAGGCGAGGACCCCUCGCUGGUCUGAGAGGAUGACCAGCCACACUGGAACUGAGACACGGUCCAGGCUCCUACGGGAGCCAGCAGUGGGGAAUAUUGCACAAUGGGCGCAAGCCUGAUGCAGCCAUGCCGCGUGUGUGAAGAAGGCCUUCGGGGUGUAAAGCACUUUCAGCGAGGAGGCGUUACUCUCAGAAGAAGCACCGGCUAACUCCGUGCCAGCCGCCGCGGUAAUUC